rnacentral:rRNA from 1 species
UGCAAGUCGCGCGGUCAGCAAUGGCAGCGGCGGACGGGUGCGUAACGCGUAGGAACGUGUCUUGAGGUGGGGGACAACCCUGGGAAACUGGGGCUAAUACCGCAUAUGGGCUGAGGCCCAAAGCCGUGAGGCGCCUUUGGAGCGGCCUGCGUCCGAUUAGCUAGUUGGUGGGGUAAAGGCCUACCAAGGCUCCGAUCGGUAGCUGGUCUGAGAGGACGAUCAGCCACACUGGGACUGAGACACGGCCCAGACUCCUACGGGAGGCAGCAGUGGGGAAUAUUGGACAAUGGGCGCAAGCCUGAUCCAGCAAUGCCGCGUGGGUGAAGAAGGUCUUCGGAUCGUAAAGCCCUUUCGACAGGGACGAUGAUGACGGUACCUGUAGAAGAAGCCCCGGCUAACUUCGUGCCAGCA